rnacentral:tRNA from 1 species
UAGUUCAGUUGGUUAGAGUGUUAUGCUAAUAACUUAAAAGUUAUAAGUUUAAUUCUUGUUUACACCA